CCACCCCUGGUCAAAACGAACGCAACAUUUACUCCGGAACAAAUCGGGCUUGAGCCCGCGCGUUGUAGGUUGUGUGGUGACUGAGUGACAGCGGCUGCAGUACCGCAUAUCUCGCCACAUGGGUUCGCUGUUGUACUUUCUCUCCUGAAGCCUGGCGCGCCACAGAACAUUCUCUCCGCACGGCUGUUGAAUGUGUACCGCGCGCCCUCACCGUUUCUGUCACACACUCAGACAACGUGAGUACAGAAACCGGUUGUCUUAAAGGCACGAAGAAACACCUGAACGAGCAGAGAUGAGCUGCUGGUCGGUAUCUGACUCGGGUCUCACUCUGAGCACAUCAUUGGUUCUGGUGACAUCCGUUACCAUACCGCACUGAUGACAUCUUAUUUAAGCGCGCAGACAAGACAAGGAAACCUGUACCAUCAGGCUUGUCUGUUCCUGCAUGGAUGAUCAAUAAAUCAACGGCCUCACAGAUAGAACGCAAGAAAGAAAAAGAAAGAGAGAAGAUCAGCAUCUCCAGACAAGAUAAGGCCAUAAGAGGCAAUCCAGUGAAAUUCUGCCCUUUGUAGGAAAAAACGAGCUGCGGCUGUCAGACGCAGAGUCCCUGAGCACACACCGAGCGCCUGUGCUGAGAACACGAUCUGCUGAGGGAAAAAAGGGCAUUUUCAACACUGACAUUU